rnacentral:rRNA from 1 species
GACGAACGCUGGCGGCGUGCUUAACACAUGCAAGUCGAACGGAAAGGCCCUGCUUUUGUGGGGUGCUCGAGUGGCGAACGGGUGAGUAACACGUGAGUAACCUGCCCUUGACUUUGGGAUAACUUCAGGAAACUGGGGCUAAUACCGGAUAGGAGCUCCUGCUGCAUGGUGGGGGUUGGAAAGUUUCGGCGGUUGGGGAUGGACUCGCGGCUUAUCAGCUUGUUGGUGGGGUAGUGGCUUACCAAGGCUUUGACGGGUAGCCGGACUGAGAGGGUGACCGGCCACAUUGGGACUGAGAUACGGCCCAGACUCCUACGGGAGGCAGCAGUGGGAGAUAUUGCACAAUGGGCGGAAGCCGGAUGCAGCAACGCCGCGUGCGGGAUGACGGCCUUCGGGUUGUAAACCGCUUGCGACUGUGACGAAGCGUGAGUGACGGUAAUGGGUAAAGAAGCACCGGCUAACUACGUG